GAUGAACGCUGGCGGCGUGCCUAAUACAUGCAAGUCGAGCGAACAGACGAGGAGCUUGCUCCUCUGACGUUAGCGGCGGACGGGUGAGUAACACGUGGAUAACCUACCUAUAAGACUGGGAUAACUUCGGGAAACCGGAGCUAAUACCGGAUAAUAUAUUGAACCGCAUGGUUCAAUAGUGAAAGACGGUUUUGCUGUCACUUAUAGAUGGAUCCGCGCCGCAUUAGCUAGUUGGUAAGGUAACGGCUUACCAGGCGACGAUGCGUAGCCGACCUGAGAGGGUGAUCGGCCACACUGGAACUGAGACACGGUCCAGACUCCUACGGGAGGCAGCAGUAGGGAAUCUUCCGCAAUGGGCGAAAGCCUGACGGAGCAACGCCGCGUGAGUGAUGAAGGUCUUCGGAUCGUAAAACUCUGUUAUUAGGGAAGAACAAAUGUGUAAGUAACUAUGCACGUCUUGACGGUACCUAAUCAGAAAGCCACGGCUAACUACGUG
rnacentral:rRNA from 1 species